GACGAACGCUGGCGGCGUGCCUAAUAUAUGCAAGUCGAGCGAAUCUUGAGGUGCUUGCACCUCUUGGUUAGCGGCGGACGGGUGAGUAACACGUGGGCAACCUGCCUGUAAGACUGGGAUAACUUCGGGAAACCGGAGCUAAUACCGGAUAAUCCUUUUCCUCUCAUGAGGAAAAGCUGAAAGGCGGUUUUUCGCUGAAACUUACAGAUGGGCCCGCGGCGCAUUAGCGAGUUGGUGAGGUAACGGCUCACCAAGGCGACGAUCCUUAGCUGGUCUGAGAGGAUGAUCAGCCACACUGGGACUGAGACACGGCCCAGACUCCUACGGGAGGCAGCAGUGGGGAAUAUUGGACAAUGGGGGCAACCAUGAUCCAGCGAUGCCGCGUGUGUGAAGAAGGCCUGCGGGUUGUAAAGCACUUUCGAUGGGGAGGAGAGGUACGAUGUUAACAGCAUGGUACUGAGACGUUACCCAUAUAAGAAGCACCGGCUAACUCCGUGCCAGCCGCCGCGGUAAAAC
rnacentral:rRNA from 1 species